AUCCAGCUGACGAGUCCCAAAUAGGACGAAAUGCGCGUUAACCUAUAU
rfam:Schistosoma haematobium scaffold322_15, whole genome shotgun sequence.